CCGCAUUGGCCCUUUGCGCCCGGCGAUGGUUCAUUCAAAUUUCUGCCCUAUCAACUUUCGAUGGUAGGAUAGUGGCCUACCAUGGUGGCAACGGGUAACGGGGAAUUAGGGUUCGAUUCCGGAGAGGGAGCCUGAGAAACGGCUACCACAUCCAAGGAAGGCAGCAGGCGCGCAAAUUACCCAAUCCCGAUACGGGGAGGUAGUGACAAUAAAUACUGAUACGGGGCUCUUUUGGGUCUCGUAAUUGGAAUGAGAACAAUUUAAAUCCCUUAACGAGGAACAAUUGGAGGGCAAGUCUGGUGCCAGCAGCCGCGGUAAUUCCAGCUCCAAUAGCGUAUAUUAAAGUUGUUGCAGUUAAAAAGCUCGUAGUUGAACCUUGGGUCUGGCUGGCCGGUCCGCCUCACCGCGAGUACUGGUCCGGCUGGACCUUUCCUUCUGGGGAACCUCAUGGCCUUCACUGGCUGUGGGGGGAACCAGGACUUUUACUGUGAAAAAAUUAGAGUGUUCAAAGCAGGCCUUUGCUCGAAUACAUUAGCAUGGAAUAAUAGAAUAGGACGUGUGGUUCUAUUUUGUUGGUUUCUAGGACCGCCGUAAUGAUUAAUAGGGAUAGUCGGGGGCGUCAGUAUUCAGCUGUCAGAGGUGAAAUUCUU
rnacentral:rRNA from 1 species